rnacentral:rRNA from 1 species
UACGGGGGGGGCAAGCGUUGUUCGGAAUUACUGGGCGUAAAGGGCUCGUAGGCGGCCAACUAAGUCAGACGUGAAAUCCCCAGGCUCAACCUGGGAACUGCGUCUGAUACUGGAUGGCUUGAAUCCGGGAGAGGGACGCGGAAUUCCAGGUGUAGCGGUGAAAUGCGUAGAUAUCUGGAGGAACACCGGUGGCGAAGGCGACGUCCUGGACCGGCAUUGACGCUGAGGCGCGAAAGCCAGGGGAGCAAACGGG